rnacentral:rRNA from 1 species
GACGAACGCUGGCGGCGUGCCUAAUACAUGCAAGUCGAGCGGACCCUUCGGGGUUAGCGGCGGACGGGUGAGUAACACGUAGGCAACCUGCCUGCAGGACUGGGAUAACUGCCGGAAACGGCAGCUAAGACCGGAUAAGUGAUUUUUCCGCAUGGAGGGAUCAAGAAACACGGGGCAACCUGUGACCUGUAGAUGGGCCUGCGGCGCAUUAGCUGGUUGGUGAGGUAAUGGCUCACCAAGGCGACGAUGCGUAGCCGACCUGAGAGGGUGAUCGGCCACACUGGGACUGAGACACGGCCCAGACUCCUACGGGAGGCAGCAGUAGGGAAUCUUCCGCAAUGGGCGCAAGCCUGACGGAGCAACGCCGCGUGAGUGAUGAAGGUUUUCGGAUCGUAAAGCUCUGUUGCCAAGGAAGAAUGGUUCGGAGAGUAACUGCUCUGGGCAUGACGGUACUUGAGAAGAAAGCCCCGGCUAACUACGUGCCAGCCGCCGCCGUAAUAC